rnacentral:rRNA from 1 species
UACAGAGGGUGCAAGCGUUAAUCGGAAUUACUGGGCGUAAAUCGCACGCAGGCGGUUGGUUAAGUCAGAUGUGAAAGCCCCGGGCUCAACCUGGGAAUUGCAUUUGAAACUGGCCAACUAGAGUACGUGAGAGGGGGGUAGAAUUCCAAGUGUAGCGGUGAAAUGCGUAGAGAUUUGGAGGAAUACCAGUGGCGAAGGCGGCCCCCUGGCACGAUACUGACGCUCAGGUGCGAAAGCGUGGGGAGCAAACAGG